UUUUUCUCUUUUAGAUAAAAAAAGGAAAUCAAACUCUAUAUACUAUUUUCUAAAUUUUGGUGGACUUUUAUGAUAAGCCUCUUCCCAUGAUUUAAUAUCAUUCUAUGACAUUAUGACUGAAGGCUGCAUAGUGUUUUAUUGUGCAGAGGGACCAUAAUUUAUUAGCCAGUCUUCUCUUAUAGGACAUUUAGGUUAUUUAUACUUUCUUUUCGCUGUUGUAAAUUUUACUGAGAUAAAUAUUCUUGUAAUUAGAUCUUGGUGUACCUCCAGGCCUAUUAACUUAGGAUGGAGCUUCCAGAUUUGCAGCUAGAUCAGAGUCUGAACAUUUUUUUUUUUUUUGAGGAAGAUUAGCCCUGAGCUAGCAUCUGCUGCCAAUCCUCCUCUUUUUUUGCUGAGGAAGACUGGCCCUGAGCUAACAUCCGUGCCCAUCUUCCUCUAUUUUUUUUAUAUGUGGGCCGCACGCCACAGCAUGGCUUGCCAAGUGCUGCGUGUAGGCCCACACCCGGGAUCCGAAACUGCGAACCCCGGGCUGCUGAAGCAGAGUGUGCAAACUUAACUGCUGCGCCACUGGGCCGGCCCCCAGAGUCUGAACAUUUUUAAGGCUUUUGAUAUUUCUAUGAAAUUUCUUUUGAGAAAGUUAAUAGCUUACCAAUAAUUCUAUUAUUGCUUACCAAUAUUCUAAUCUGGUCUGACAAUUUUUUUUUUUUUUUAUAAAUAAAUGUGUCACUUUUAUUUUUUUAUUUUUAUUUUCUUUUAAAGAUUUUAUUUUUUCCUUUUUCUCCCCAAACCCCCCCGGUACAUAGUUGUGUAUUCUUCGUUGUGGGUCCUUCUAGUUGUGGCAUGUGGGACGCUGCCUCAGCGUGGUCUGAUGAGCAGUGCCAUGUCCGCGCCCAGGAUUCGAACCAAUGAAACACUGGGCCGUCUGCAGCGGAGCGCGCGAACUUAACCACUCGGCCACGGGGCCAGCCCCUCUGGUCUGACAAUUUGAUAGAUGACCAGUGUUGCCUUGGUAAUUUCAUUUGCCUUUGAUUACACUGGAUAUCUUAAAUGUGUGUUUUAUUUGUUGUUUUCUAUUUUAGUGCUUUAUUUUCUCUACUUUCUAUCUUUUGUUAUAUAUGUGCAUCCUCAUUGUUUGAGGGCUUGCUACUUGAGAAUUCACUUACUGAAUAAAAUGUAUUUGUAACCUCAAAGUCAACUUGCAGGCCCUUCUGUGGUCCUACACAGACGUGUGCAGAGCAGGGAAAAUCUGAGCCGCUCAACACACAAGUUCCCAGCUGAGGUUGAACAAGGCAACGCUCUGCCUUCUCGUUUCAGCUCUCGUCGUAAACAAGCGUCCUUUGUGUGGCCUAUUUAGUGCCAUGCUUUUUGCAUUUUCAUGCCUUUUUUUGGUGAUUUCACUGUUUAGAAUGACCACCAAGCAUAGUGCUGAAGAGCUGUCAAGUGUUCCCUGGUCCAAGGAAGCUGUGAUGUGCCUUAUAGGUAAAAUACACGUGUUAGAUCAGCUUCGUUCAGGCAUGAGUUACAGUGCUGUUGGCCGUGACUUCAGUGACUUCAUUCAACAAUAUAUAUCAAAUAAGGUGUCUUUACACAGAAACACACAUAAAAUAAGGUUAUGUAGUGAUCAGUUGACAAAAUUGUUGUGACCAGAAGCUCACAGGACUCUAACCCUGUGUUUCCCCAGGAGCAAUGGCUCAGCAUUUGCUAAUUCAGUGCUCGCGGUGACUUUACAGAACAUAACUACAGUGGCUAAUGAGAACUGAUUGCACUGUUUUCUACGGUUUUUCUCUCAGUGACUUAGAAGGUCAGCGGUCAGCUCCUCCUUAUCUUCACCCCCUUCUGAGCACUUAUUUCUCAGAAUCCCUUGCCAUUGAGGUUCCAGUUUAGGUUCUGCCAUUGAGAAUUACUCGUUUGAGAUUAGGAAGGUGGAAGAGAAGGAGAAGGUACAUGUUCCUCCGGCAGCAGCAGGUGGAAUCUCGGACGGAUGGCGGUGUCCUGACUUCUGUGCUACACGCGUAAGUAAGUAAGGUAAGUAAGGUAAAAACUUAGCAUGCUUUUACUUCCAUCUACUUUCUCGCCUAUCUACCUUUGUUGGUAUAAUCUGGAGUCUCAUCAAAGUUAUAAUUAAUUAUUUUUUUGACAUUUGCAUUCUAUCUUGUAAUCAUAUUUCCAAUAAUUAUUUAGGCUUCGUUUAACAUAUAACAGGUUUUAGUGCUCACCACUGCCCUUUCACAACACAAAUUAGCCUUUGUUGAGUUCUUUAUUUGCUGUGUCUUGGUUUCUGUAAAAAGCCUUUCAGUCCUUGUCUGAAGAAGGACGUAUAGAGAAGACAGACUUUCCAAGUGCGUGAAGAGCUGAGACUAUUUCUUUGUUGUUUUUAUACAGGACUUGACUGAGUCCAUGGUCUUGAUUAACUACCCUAUUCCCUCAAAACUGUAACGGUUGACACGUUCUUUUCGCAUUUAACAUGGAUUUAUGGGAGAAGUUUGAAGUCACAUGGGUUUUCUUCCUUUUUACAUUAACUAUCCCUCUCCCCUCAAUGCUUAUAUGAUUUUUUUCCUGCAGUCUUGAUAUUUACAAAUUCUGUCAUGUGUAUCUAUGGGUUGGUCUCUUGUCGUUAACUUUUCUUGGUACUCAGUGAACCCCUUUGAAAUGUGGAAACUUUUGCCAGAUACAGUGCUAAGUGCUCUGUACGUAUCACUGGUGACAACCCUAUGAGGUGAUAGCUAUUGUCCUUCCCCAUUCAGAGAUGAUGAGAUGGAGUUCCAGCGCUCAUAGGAGGUCAACAGGCCUUGGGCAAGUCCUAAAUACAUCCGUCCUCAGGAGAGUUAUAUAUUAAUUAACCAUUGCUGCAUAACAAAUUACCCCGAAUGUAUUCAAAAAAUAAACAUCGAUUGUCUUGCAGUUUCAUGGGUUUUGGAAUCUUCUGCCUCAAAACCUCUCACACUUGAGGUGCUGGCCUGGGCUGGAGAGAGCAGCUGCGUGACUGUGGACAGAAAUGACCAGUUGUGAGCGCGUCACAGGACGCCCGUGUCGGCGGUGUUCCCCCCACAGCUCAAACCCUCGGGACUCGACGGCACUGAGACGCAGUAGCAGGGCCUGAAGGAAGAUUCUUUGUGCAGAACAUCCUGUCUCUGAAUCUUCGAUUUCAUUUGCUCUCCUGAUGCUCCAUCAGCCUCUCCUCCGAGAGCCCCUCUCCCUUGCUCGGUGCCCCUGGAUGCAUGAGACCUGAUCUGCCUGCUCCAGGCCUGGGCUCCACCCGCUGCCCCAGCACAGCAUUCAGCAUCCAGGGUCUCCCCCGGACCCCUCUCUCUCAGAAGAGAGAGGAACGUAGGUCUACUUCACUCUAGGGUCUGAGCUGUUAGUCACUAUACCAUGCAAUUGUUUUUCCAAAGGAAAAAAGAACUCCUGUAUUACAUAAUAUCUAGCAUUCUGCUUUUGUUUCCUCGGUUUCUGAUUCUCUUUCAGAGACAAGACAAUAGCCCAUAUAUUGGGUCCCUCUUGUGUAGUCUUUAUAUCUGCUAGUUUCAUUUUGUCAUCUUUUUCUUCUAUAUUAUCAUAGAGCUUGGCAAACUUAUUCUUUUUCUAGAGUGUGGUAUAAUUGACAUAUAACAUUAUAUUAGUUUCAGGUGUACAGUGUAAUAAUUUGAUAUUUGUAUAUAUUGUGAAAUGGUCACCACAAUAAGUCUGGUUAACAUCCAUCACUGCACACGGUUACAAAUUUUGUUUAUCUUGUGAUGAGAAAGUUUAAGAUCUACCCUCUUAGGCAAACUUAUUCUUUAUAUUUGGAUUAUGUUUUCUGCGGGUUUUUGGUUUCUCUUUCCUGAUUUUAAUGCAGAUUUAAUUUUUUAAUUGAAUUUUUAGCUUUUCGUUUUCCCCAUCUCAUCAAUUUCCUUUUCUGUUUCUCUGCCUCUUAGCCAGAUCCACAGAUCUCAAUUCCCCCUCAUUUUUGUUAAAGUCUUGUUUACAGUCUGUUUUCUGGCAUUUUCUUCUGUCUUGUGUAUUAAGCAGUGCUCAAGGCUGUGCUCUUCCUCUGCGUUGAGAGCUGUGCUCUGUCUUCUGUGCCCCAGGAUAUUUUCACAGGCCCUGUGCUGGUUCUUUUCUCUUUACCAGCCCUCUGGUAGAGGUCUGCCCAGUGCCUUUGGUUUCCCAUAAGCAAUAGGAGUGGAUGCUGUUAGAAUUCUCCUCUCAAAUCUUAAGGAGGGAUUGUCAAUAUAAAUUCACGUUACCUGCUCAUCAGUACAUAAUUCCGAGAGGAGAAUGGAGACGGAUGAUGCAGAAGUGGAUUUUGGGAGUGGAAGGGAAGAUUUCACUUUUGUGUCAUUUCUUUUGUCACAGAGUCCUCUUUUGGACCUGGCUUUCUGACUGGGCCAGCCUCUAUACCUGGUAAGCAAUUUUACCUGGUAAGUUCAUGAUGCUUCUGUCUUGGAAGCAGAACUUGAGACAUUGUCGUGGUGGAUAAUGGUGAUGUCAGGACAGACCAUUUGUGGUAGGUCUGGUGGGUAGGUGGUGGCCGUUGCUGAGCUCCUAUUUCACACAGUUGCCCAGAGAAUUGGAACUAUGCUUUCCACAUGCAGAGAAACAGUGCUAGGACCCAGAGAGCUACUCCUAAGCAUCACAGAAUUUUGGUCCCUCGAGCAAUGGCUCAGUCAAGAUGGGCCACACAGGUUCAGAACAGUUGAACGGCUCUGCAGCUACAUAAGGUGGUGCUAUGAUCUCUAAAACCUGGAGCUCAUGCCAGAUGGUGUAUUCUGUCCUGCCCCCACCCCUGGGACUCCCAUUUCUAGUGUGUCACCCCUCCUUCCUCCACAAGACGUAUCCCUAGCUAGUUAUAGGAUACUGUUGAGCUAUCAGAUGAAGUUAAUUGAAGUUGGAGAAGCACAGCUCCCCACCACUGCCCACCUUGUGUCUUUAUUGGCAGUGUGGCUAUCUGUGAGGAAUGCAGACGUUUCCCAGCCUGGAGUGCAAUUUACAUGUCCCUCUCUCUCUCCCUGUCUCGUUCUCUCUCUCACCUACACUACUGACCUGCUGAAUGUUUAUUGAACAUACCAUUAUUUAUUAGCAUUGCAAAUGGCAGUUAUGCUGAUGCUGAAGAUGGAGGCACUGACAUCCUUGGUGCAGACGACAGAACCCUUGGCCUAAUACUGGCAGCUGCAGCAUGGGCAGCAACACAAGCACCGGACAUCUUUUGUUUGUCCUUCCAGAUCUGUUCUCUGUCCUUCUCCACCCUGCUCUGUGACCUGGGAGCCUGACCCAUAUGGUCCAUUUGAGUGGUGUGCUGGAGCCCGUGAGAGCUGAUUAUGUGCAUCUCUUCUUAGCUCCAUGUUUGGUGACCAUGGUAGGAAUAUUUGCACCAUGGAAAUUGGCAAACACUAUAAAUAAGUGUGCACACACGCAGAGAGCUUGUUAAAUAUUUAUUUACCAGCACACCACAGGAGCUAUGUUAAUAUAUCAAUAGCCUCCCUUGCCCCUUUGGCUUCUGGUUGGGUUUGGACAUUGGGAGGCACCUGAAGAGGGUUGAAGGGUGGGAAGAGAGUGUAGUCAGAGUAUCCGUUCUCCUGGCUCCGUCCCUAACGGGUUCCCCCAGCUUGGGUGCCUCCCUCUACAAAGUCUUCAGCUGCUGUCAGGCACCCUCUCCACAUCCAUCCUCUCUGGAAUACAGACACUCCUUGCCUGUCCCUCUUCAGCCCUAUGAGGGGUGCUGGCUCCGGGCACCACGUCAUCUCUCCCUCGCUUCCCUAAACCCUACCUACACUGAUAGACCCUUCAUGACACUCCUCUAAUAACCCAUUUGAGUGUGUGCCACUUCUUUCCCUCCAUGACCCUGACUGAUACGAAGCCUAACUAUGUUCAGUCGUGUGGGACUGCUUGCUUGUGUCCUGGGUGCAUUUCCUGGGUCUCCAUUUAGAUACUAGGUUCCAAGAGCAGUGGUUUCAAACCCUUUAUGGCCUUGCUUGGGAGGUUUUCUUCAAGUGAAAUCUUUUCUGAAAACUCAAUAUAUACAUUAGAUAAAGACUCUUUUUGUAAAAAAAUUUUUUGCUGAGGAAGAUCUGCCCUGACCUAACGUCUAUCCCAGUCUUCCUCUGUUUAUGGGCUGCCAACACAGCAUGGCUGCUAACAGAGUGGUAUAGGUCCGAGCCUGGGAACUGAACCUGGGAUGUUGAAGUAGAGUGUGCUGAACUUAACCACUAGGCCACUGGGGCUGGCCCAAAAGAUUCUUGUCUUAAGUGGAGUAGAAGUGAGGUGCUGCCUGCUUCCUGUCCUCCCCUCCUCAUCUCCCAUGGGCCAUGGAUGCCCUUCACUGGAACCCCGAGGAUCCGAGAAGCACGAUGUAAAUACCCAGUCCUAGAAGACAGACUAUGGUGUACGUUUCCCAGGCGCCUAGAGAGAUGUGCAUAACCCUCAGGCGUGUUUUCAAGCUACUGUUUCCAGAAUGCCUGCUGUGUGCCAGGCCCUGUUCUAGUGCUUUAUGUCAGUUAGUUCACUUAAUCCUCCCAGCAGCCCUGGUGGAGCUGAUGAAGUGCCUUCAUUAUCCACAUCGUGUGAACAGGGAACCCCAGAGCAGUGUGGGUAAUCAUUGCCCAGGACCACAUGGCUGGUCUAGCUACAGAGUUAGCUGCAGAGCUGUGUUCUGAUGCCCUCUGCAUGCGCUCCUAAAUAUGUGUUUGAGUGAUUAGAUGAGGAGCAAGUGAGCUCAGGUGUGAGGAAAACCUCACAGCAUCAGAAUCCAGCUGAGGAACCCUGCCUGCCCUGUGGAUUUCCUCCAUGGCUUCCCCAGGCUCCAUCUCUGACAGCUCACUCACAGGGAGACGGUCCCUGAUGUGGAAGGAGGAAGGUGCUGCUGCUCUGAAAUGUGCCUGAGGAGAUGUGCUGUCCCUCAGCCGGCGACACAGAUGCAGGAAGAAAGGAGCCAGCUUCUCAGGCUGCCGCAGGCCCAGGGACGCAUCUUCCUGAAGACACUGCAAGCUUGAGGCCUUCGAACCGCGGCUCUCGGGACUGAGCCAUCAGUACCUGCGAAGUUUUGUCUCUGGGACUUCGAUAGCACCUCCAGUCAGACAUGUUAAAAAACAAAAUAACAAAAGCCAAGCAAACCCCACACCACCCGGAGGUUGUAUACAAGUCUCAAAUUUCUGAUCUGCCGUACAUCCAGAAGUGACGUCAAACGUCAUUUUACAAACGCUUUAUCCAUUUCUCAAUUAGGAGUUCUCAAAGAUGUCGAGACCAAGAGUAUCUGAAUAAUACAAAAACCCCACUUCCUUUCACUAUUUUUCCUUUCCUCAGGUAGAAAAACAAAUCGUUAUGAGAAUGACUGGGAGAAGUCAGUGGGGUGAGGCUUGGCCUUUAUUAAGUAGCAGAACUGAAUUAUUAAUUCAUGUGAGGAAUGAAAGUACAGUCUCUUAUACCCUAAAUGUUUGGACCUCAAAGCCCAGCCCACACGUUUCCUGCGAGGAACACUGGCUACACGAUUUGUAGGGCCCGGUGCAAAAUGAAAAUGAGGCACCCCUUGCUUAAAAUUGUUCAGAAUUUAAGACAUCAACAGCAGAGCUUUCAAACCCAGUGCACGGCCCGCUGGAGUGAGGAGCCCUGGGUGGACGUCCGUGGAGCUGGCCCGCUUGGGAGCGGUGACCAGCAUUUGAGCCCUGGGAGAAAGGGAAAGGUAAACCUUCUACUCUACCAGUGGAUGCCCAAGAAAGAAGCAACCUUGUGCACCAGGUCACACCAAAGAAGGCUGGGGUCAGACCACCACUCCCAAUGCACCCCCUUCAUGUCUGUGUUUGGAAUAAGAACUCCAGCCCCCACCCACUGAACCAGUGUCUGUGUCACCAGUGGAUGAGACCCAAUUUCUGGAAUAAAGAGGAAAGGAUCUGUGUCAGAGGUUUGUCACCUCCUUUUUUAAUACACUUGAAUUUUUA
rnacentral:lncRNA from 1 species